CCCCGGGUGGCGAAAUCGGUAGACGCAGGGGACUCAAAAUCCCCCGCCGCAAGGCGUGCCGGUUCGAGUCCGGCCCCGGGGACCA
rnacentral:tRNA from 1 species